CAAAAGAAAAGAAAAUAUCAAAUUAAAGCAAGAGGCAUGGAUGCUUAAUACAUUGCCAACUGAUCCUCCAAUUGCAUAAAAUAUGAUUCAUGAAUUCAACGACCAUCACAAAAUAUAUUUAACAUAAGAAUUCUGUGUAUUGGGACAUCUUCUCAUACAAGUGCUAACAGCCAGCCAGGCUUCUUUUCUUGCAUUGUCUUAGUAGCCACCUUAACAACAAUUUGGCACCACAAAAGGCUGACAAAAAUAAAUAUUUUUCUUGGGCUUGGAAUCCAGAUGUGGAGAUUAUCUUUUCCCACUAAUGAGGAAAGGGAUACGAUCAGAGAAUAUCCUAAGAAAUCAUGAAGGUUACAGCCACACAUGCUAACUUUAAGAAUUUGAACUAUUGUUGCCAUAGCAAUUCUAUUUUUCAAUUUUGUCUAUUUUGAAAAGUCAAAAUACAAGCUACCAGAGCCCACACCCAUUUUGCCACUUUAGAGCUCCUACAAGUUCAAUUUUAAACAAAGGAUUAACAAAUAACAAGUCAAUAAAGUCUUCUACUCAUAACAAGAGAUAAAAGCAGAAAAGUAGAUGUCCUGCAGGUUUUUAAGAUCCAUUCAACAGAGUUCUAAUUUCCCAAAAGAAAAUUAUAAAAACCAUACAAUAACAACAAGAAGUCUUGAUCCCAAAUAAGUUGGAUCGGUUAUAUUGAUCCUUUUUAAAAACAAUUCCUCACCGAUAUCCAAAAAUUAAAAUCAUUUGAUACUACUUCUCGUCACCCCCUAUAUUCUUAAAAUAAUACAGUUCCAUAUCUAUACUAAUGUUGUUGGCUUAUUUUAGUCCUCCUACUUAAAAUAACAACUUUAUUAGCUUCUAGAUCCUGACUAAUUUUCCAAAUAAUGACAAAGAAAAAGAGUAUUUUACAGCACUAAACUCACCUCUGGCUGGAUCAUCUACUUGCAAAGCUAUGUCAGCAAACAACUCUUGCAACAAGUUGCGUCUCUACGAUGCAGAAGCUAGCGCAUUGAAGCUUUUUCUCGAUUUCUAGUGUGACAGCAAUGAGAUAAGCUAAGCUCGGAGGCGUUGAAGAAGCUUUUUCCAUUUUCUCUAAAGAUUUGAUUAUUGAAACCUCAGUCACAAGGAGAAUAUCACAACAGCCAAGAGUGCAGAUUGAGAUUGGC
rnacentral:misc_RNA from 1 species